AUUGAACGCUGGCGGCAUGCCUUACACAUGCAAGUCGAACGGCAGCACGGGGGCAACCCUGGUGGCGAGUGGCGAACGGGUGAGUAACAUAUCGGAACGUGCCCUGGAGUGGGGGAGUAACUAGUCGAAAGAUUAGCUAAUACCGCAUACGAUCUACGGAUGAAAGUGGGGGAUCGCAAGACCUCAUGCUCGUGGAGCGGCCGAUAUCUGAUUAGCAGUUGGUAGGGUAAAAGCCUACCAAGGCGACGAUCAGUAGCUGGUCUGAGAGGACGACCAGCCACACUGGGACUGAGACACGGCCCAGACUCCUACGGGAGGCAGCAGUGGGAAUUUUGGACAAUGGGGCAACCUGAUCCAGCAAUGCCGCGUGAGUGAAG
rnacentral:rRNA from 1 species